UACGUAGGUCCCGAGCGUUGUCCGGAUUUAUUGGGCGUAAAGCGAGCGCAGGUGGUUUAUUAAGUCUGGUGUAAAAGGCAGUGGCUCAACCAUUGUAUGCAUUGGAAACUGGUAGACUUGAGUGCAGGAGAGGAGAGUGGAAUUCCAUGUGUAGCGGUGAAAUGCGUAGAUAUAUGGAGGAACACCGGUGGCGAAAGCGGCUCUCUGGCCUGUAACUGACACUGAGGAUCGAAAGCGUGGGGAGCAAACAGG
rnacentral:rRNA from 1 species